rnacentral:rRNA from 1 species
GAUCAUGGCUCAGGAUGAACGCUAGCUACAGGCUUAACACAUGCAAGUCGAGGGGCAGCAUAUCGAAAGCUUGCUUUGAUGAUGGCGACCGGCGCACGGGUGAGUAACGCGUAUCCAACCUUCCCUAUACUAGAGGAUAGCCCGGCGAAAGUCGGAUUAAUACUCUAUGUUCUUCGUAGAAGACAUCUGAAAUGAAGCAAAGGUUUACCGGUAUAGGAUGGGGAUGCGUCUGAUUAGGUUGUUGGCGGGGUAACGGCCCACCAAGCCCACGAUCAGUAGGGUUCUGAGAGGAAGGUCCCCCACAUUGGAACUGAGACACGGUCCAAACUCCUACGGGAGGCAGCAGUGAGGAAUAUUGGUCAAUGGACGAGAGUCUGAACCAGCCAAGUAGCGUGCAGGAUGACGGCCCUAUGGGUUGUAAACUGCUUUUAUACAGGGAUAAAGUUCACUACGUGUAGUGUUUUGUAGGUACUGUAUGAAUAAGGACCGGCUAAUUCCGUGCCAGCCGCUGC